AUUGAACGCUGGCGGCAGGCCUAACACAUGCAAGUCGAACGAGUGGCGGACGGGUGAGUAAUGUAUGGGAAACUGCCCGAUAGAGGGGGAUAACUACUGGAAACGGUAGCUAAUACCGCAUACCAUCGGAUGUGCCCAGAUGGGAUUAGCUAGUAGGUGGGGUAACGGCUCACCAAGGCGACGAUCCCUAGCUGGUUUGAGAGGAUGACCGGCCACACGGGAACUGCGACACGGCCCAGACUCCUACGGGAGGCAGCAGUGGGGAAGAGUGGACAAUGGGCGAAAUCCUGAUGCAGCCAUGCCGCGUGUAUGAAGAGGGCUUUCGGGUUGUAAAGUACGUUCAGCGGGGAGGCGUUACCCGCAGAGGAAGCACCGGCUAACUCCGUGCCAGCAGCCGCGGUAAUUC
rnacentral:rRNA from 1 species